rnacentral:rRNA from 1 species
GAUGAAGGCUGGCGGUCUGCUUAACACAUGCAAGUCGAACGGAAUCUUUCGGGAUUUAGUGGCGGACGGGUGAGUAACGCGUGAGGAUCUGCCCAUAGGUUCGGGACAACAGUUGGAAAUGACUGCUAAUACCGGGUGUGCCGAAAGGUGAAAGAUUUAUUGCCUGAAAGAGAGCUCGCGUCAGAUUAGCUAGUAGGUGGUGUAAGAGACUACCUAGGCGACGAUCUGUAGCUGGUCUGAGAGGACGAUCAGCCACACUGGAACUGAGACACGGUCCAGACUCCUACGGGAGGCAGCAGUAGGGAAUUUUCCGCAAUGGGCGAAAGCCUGACGGAGCAAUACCGCGUGAGGGACGAGGCUUUUGGGUCGUAAACCUCUUUUCUCAAGGAAGACACAGGACGGUACUUGAGGAAUAAGCAUCGGCUAACUCUGUGCCAGCAGCCGCGGUAAU